ACUGCUCAGUAACACGUGGAUAACCUGCCCUUGGGACCGGCAUAACCCCGGGAAACUGGGGAUAAUUCCGGAUAACGCAUAUUUGCUGGAAUGCUUUAUGCGUCAAAAGGAUUCGUCUGCCCAAGGAUGGGUCUGCGGCCUAUCAGGUAGUAGUGGGUGUAAUGUACCUACUAGCCAGCGACGGGUACGGGUUGUGAGAGCAAGAGCCCGGAGAUGGAUUCUGAGACAUGAAUCCAGGCCCUACGGGGCGCAGCAGGCGCGAAAACUUUACAAUGCGGGAAACCGUGAUAAGGGGACACCGAGUGCCAGCAUCAUAUGCUGGCUGUCCGGAUGUGUAAAAUACAUCCGUUAGCAAGGGCCGGGCAAGACCGGUGCCAGCCGCCGCGGUAACACCGGCGGCCCGAGUGGUGAUCGUGAUUAUUGGGUCUAAAGGGUCCGUAGCCGGUUUGGUCAGUCCUCCGGGAAAUCUGAUAGCUCAACUAUUAGGCUUUCGGGGGAUACUGCCAGACUUGGAACCGGGAGAGGUAAGAGGUACUACAGGGGUAGGAGUGAAAUCUUGUAAUCCCUGUGGGACCACCUGUGGCGAAGGCGUCUUACCAGAACGGGUUCGACGGUGAGGGACGAAAGCUGGGGGCACGAACCGGAUUAGAUACCCGGGUAGUCCCAGCCGUAAACGAUGCUCGCUAGGUGUCAGGCAUGGCGCGACCGUGUCUGGUGCCGCAGGGAAGCCGUGAAGCGAGCCACCUGGGAAGUACGGCCGCAAGGCUGAAACUUAAAGGAAUUGGCGGGGGAGCAC
rnacentral:rRNA from 2 species